CCUGGCUCAGAUUGAACGCUGGCGGCAUGCUUUACACAUGCAAGUCGAACGGCAGCGGGGGCUUCGGCCUGCCGGCGAGUGGCGAACGGGUGAGUAAUGCAUCGGAACGUGCCCAUGUCGUGGGGGAUAACGUAGCGAAAGCUACGCUAAUACCGCAUACGCCCUGAGGGGAAAGCGGGGGAUUCUUCGGAACCUCGCGCGAUUGGAGCGGCCGAUGUCGGAUUAGCUAGUAGGUGAGGUAAAGGCUCACCUAGGCGACGAUCCGUAGCGGGUCUGAGAGGAUGAUCCGCCACACUGGGACUGAGACACGGCCCAGACUCCUACGGGAGGCAGCAGUGGGGAAUUUUGGGACAAUGGGCGCAAGCCUGAUCCAGCCAUGCCGCGUGAGUGAAGAAGGCCUCGGUGUAAGCUCUUCGUCCGGACGAAGUACGUGGUCGUCUACAUAGGCCAUGAGUGACGGUACCGGACCGUUAA
rnacentral:rRNA from 1 species